rnacentral:rRNA from 1 species
CCUACGGGUGGCAGCAGUAGGGGAUAUUGCUCAAUGGGGGAAACCCUGAAGCAGCAACGCCGCGUGGAGGAUGAAGGUUUUCGGAUUGUACACUCCUUUUGUUAGAGAAGAUAAUGACGGUAUCUAACGAAUAAGCACCGGCUAACUCCGUGCCAGCAGCCGCGGUAAUACGUAGGGUGCAAGCGUUUAUCAGAAUCACUGGGCGUACAGAGCGCGUAGGCGGGAUAGCAAGUCAGAUGUGAAAUCCUAUUGCUUAAACAAAGAACUGCAAUUGAAACUGUAGUUCUAGAGUAUGGGAGAGGUAGGUGGAAUUCUUGGUGUAGGGGUAAAAUCCGUAGAGAUCAAGAGGAAUACGAGUUGCGAAGGCGACCUGCUAGAACAUAACUGACGCUGAUGCGCGAAAGCGUGGGGAGCAAACAGGAUUAGAUACCCUGGUAGUC